rnacentral:rRNA from 1 species
ACGGAAGGCAGCAGUGGGGAAUAUUGGGCAAUGGGGGAAACCCUGACCCAGCAACGCCGCGUGAAGGAAGAAGGCCCUCGGGUUGUAAACUUCUUUUACCAGGGACGAAUUUUGACGGUACCUGGAGAGAAAGCAACGGCUAACUACGUGCCAGCAGCCGCGGUAAUACGUAGGUUGCAAGCGUUGUCCGGAUUUACUGGGUGUAAAGGGCGUGUAGGCGGAGCUGCAAGUCAGAUGUGAAAUCCCGGGGCUCAACCCCGGAACUGCAUUGGAAACUGUAGCCCUUGAGUAUCGGAGAGGCAAGCGGAAUUCCUAGUGUAGCGGUGAAAUGCGUAGAUAUUAGGAGGAACACCAGUGGCGAAGGCGGCUUGCUGGACGACAACUGACGCUGAGGCGCGAAAGCGUGGGGAGCAAACAGGAUUAGAUACCCUGGUA